UACGAAGGGUGCUAGCGUUGUUCGGAAUCACUGGGCGUAAAGCGCGCGUAGGCGGCUUUACAAGUCAGAGGUGAAAUCCCCAAGCUUAACUUGGGAACUGCCUUUGAAACUGUAAAGCUGGAGUGUCGGAGGGGAUAGUGGAAUUGCUAAUGUAGCGGUGAAAUGCGUAGAUAUUAGCAGGAACACCGGUGGCGAAGGCGGCUAUCUGGACGGCAACUGACGCUGAGGCGCGAAAGCGUGGGGAUCAAACAGG
rnacentral:rRNA from 1 species